UGGGGAUGACGACUGCUUCGGGUGCGGGGCGGUGAUUGGGUGGAUGGUUAUACAUGUGUGCUGCUGUCUACUUUGUUAAGCUGUUUUUCCAUUUUUUUCCAUCUUUUCUUUCCACGGCAUAUAUGGAGCGUAUAUAUCCCCUGGAUAUUUUUGUUUUUUUUACCUCCUUUUUGCAAAGAAAAACCCAUAUAUUAGUUUAUAAUGUACUUUAACUUUUUGGCCGCAAAAAUUAAUGCGCCCCUGUUAAAUCUUUCUUUUUUUUCUUUUUUCUUUCGUUUGGCGCCUUUAACCAAUUGCACUUUGCGAGUUGACGUGUUUUGAUUUUAUUUACUUUUUUUAUUUUUAUUUUUUUUAUACCUUGCUUUUUUCGUUUUACCCACCCAAAUAAAUAAAUAAAUUCCAGAUACAUGUAUGUGUACAGAAAAAGCCAAGGGCCCUGGGUUGGUGAAUUAGAGAAGCAGAAAGAUAUGUAAGUAUGGGAGGGAUGAAGGCUGAAAAAAACAACCUUGUCCAUCCACGAUAGAAAUGAGUGA
rnacentral:sRNA from 2 species